CCUACGGGGGGCUGCAGUCGAGAAUCAUUCACAAUGGGGGAAACCCUGAUGGUGCGACGCCGCGUGGGGGAAUGAAGGUCUUCGGAUUGUAAACCCCUGUCAUGUGGGAGCAAAUUAAAAAGAUAGUACCACAAGAGGAAGAGACGGCUAACUCUGUGCCAGCAGCCGCGGUAAUACAGAGGUCUCAAGCGUUGUUCGGAAUCACUGGGCGUAAGGCGUGCGUAGGCUGUUUCGUAAGUCGUGUGUGAAAGGCGCGGGCUCAACCCGCAGACGGCACAUGAUACUGCGAGACUAGAGUAAUGGAGGGGGAACCGGAAUUCUCGGUGUAGCAGUGAAAUGCGUAGAUAUCGAGAGGAACACUCGUGGCGAAGGCGGGUUCCUGGACAUUAACUGACGCUGGGGCACGAAGGCCAGGGGAGCGAAAGGGAUUAGAUACCCAGUAGUC
rnacentral:rRNA from 1 species